rnacentral:rRNA from 1 species
AGAAGACACUACUAAACUAGGGACCGGGAGGAGUCAGAAGUAUUCAAGGGGGACCGGUAAAAUGGUAUAAUCCCUUGAGGACUACCGAUGGCGAAGGCAUCUGACCAGAACGGAUCCGACGGUGAGGAACGAAAGCCGGGGGAGCGAAGCGGAUUAGAUACCCGUGUAGUCCUGGCUGUAAACGCUGCGAGCUAGAUGUUGCAUGUUCUACAUGAAUAUGCAGUAUCGAAGGGAAGCCGUUUAGCUCGCCGCCUGGGAAGUACGGUCGCAAGGCUGAAACUUAAAGGAAUUGGCGGGGGAGCACUACAAGGGGUGCGGCGUGCGGUUUAAUCUAACUCAACGCAGAGAAUCUCACCAGAAGCGACGGCACAAUGAAAGUCAGAUUAAAGGUUUUACUUGAGGAGCCGAGAGGUAGUGCAUGGCCGCCGUCAGCUCGUUCCGUAAGGUGUCCAGCUAAGUCUGGUAACGAGCGAGACCUGUAUCACUAAUUGCUAACAGCCGAUCCGUCGGGACUGAGCACAUUAGUGAGACUGCCUUGGUAACAAGGAGGAAGGUGCAGGCUACGGUAGGUCUGUAUGGUCCGAAUCUCCUAGGCUACACGCGCGCAACAAUGGACGGGACAAUGGGCUGCAACACCGAAAGGUGAAGCUAAUCCUCGAAACCCGUUCUCAGUUCAGAU